CAGUCGCCACGGUAAUACGGAGGGAGCUAGCGUUGUUCGGAAUUACUGGGCGUAAAGCGCACGUAGGCGGUUAUUCAAGUCAGAGGUGAAAGCCCGGGGCUCAACCCCGGAACUGCCUUUGAAACUGGAUGACUAGAAUCUUGGAGAGGUCAGUGGAAUUCCGAGUGUAGAGGUGAAAUUCGUAGAUAUUCGGAAGAACACCAGUGGCGAAGGCGACUGACUGGACAAGUAUUGACGCUGAGGUGCGAAAGCGUGGGGAGCAAACAGGAUUAGAUACCCGGGUAGUCCCUGUCUCUUAUAC
rnacentral:rRNA from 1 species